GACGAACGCUGGCGGCGCGCUUAACACACGCAAGUCGAGCGAGAACCAGGGCUUCGGCCCUGGGGACAGCGGCGAACGGGUGAGUAACACGUGGAUAACCUGCCCUCGGCACCGGGAUAGCCCGGGGAAACCCGGAUUAAUACCGGAUGGCCCUUCCGGCUUUCGAGCUGGUCGGAAAAGGUAGCUUCGGCCUCCGGCCGAGGAUGGGUCCGCGGCGGAUUAGCUAGUUGGUGGGGUAACGGCCUACCAAGGCGACGAUCCGUAGCUGGUCUGAGAGGACGAUCAGCCACACUGGGAUUGAGACACGGCCCAGACUCGUACGGGAGGCAGCAGUGGGGAAUCUUGCGCAAUGGGCGAAAGCCUGACGCAGCGACGCCGCGUGAGGGAGGAAGGCCUUCGGGUUGUAAACCUCUUUCAGGAGGGACGAAGCUACUCGGGUUAAUAGCCCAGAGGGUGACGAUACCUCCAGAAGAAGCCCCGGCUAACUACGUGCCAGCCGCCGCAGUAACAC
rnacentral:rRNA from 1 species